rnacentral:lncRNA from 1 species
CUUGAACAAAAACCCACAAAAAUCACAGAUCUAGAGCACAUGUGACUUAGUAAACGGUUAGUUUUACUAAAUCGGGCACCAUGGCUCUGAUACCAAUUGUAGGUCCGGUUUUCGGGAUCCAACCCGUGAUUUUCGUGUUCAUGUUCAAAGAUGGAAGAGAUAAGAGAGAUGAUAACAAACAAACUUUGUAUUAAUCCGGUAGUAAACAUUACAAGUCGGCCCGGUUACAUGACAACCGAACUAAUACCAAAGAAGUAUACAUCCGGGGAGAAACCAAGUGGUGAUUUCUCCCGGUGAGGUCUCAGACCUCCAUUCUCUCUCUAGCACACACUUGUGCUCUCACUCUUGUGUUGCAAAUGACAAAGUGUUGGUAUUUAUACCAAAACACAGGCUGCAGGUCGAAGGAUCAGACUGACUGGUCGAAACAUCAUCCUUCGAUCAGACAGUCUUCGAAAGAUACUCACAUACCUCGAAUGAUAUCCUUCGAUAUCCUUCGAGGUCCAUCCUUCGAUGGGUAUCUUUCGAGCUCAUCGAAGGAUAUUCAUAAUCCUUCGAUGCCUUAUCCUUCGACACCAAUGACAACACAGCAACUUUGUCUAGCAACACACACACACAGUCAAACCAACAACCCUCUCGUUUGACCACUUCAAACGAGCGGGUCUAUACACG